rnacentral:lncRNA from 1 species
AUCUCCUUCUCUCUCCACACGAUCCUCUGCUUCCUCUAAGUCUCUAAGCAAGUCCGAGCAAGAUUCAAUUUUGAGCUAUGAAACAGGGACCUGAGCCACAAACAAGGAGGAAAAGCACAGCAAAGGCCCGGGUCCUACACUCUACCUACAGGAAUGCAACAAAAAAUGUAUCAAAACCCAGCAAGAUCCAAUUUUGAGCUGUGCAAAAAUGACCUGAAGCACAAACCAGGAACUCUAACCAAAGACAAUGAAGGAAUCAGCCAAAAAACAGCUCAGCUCCUGCUACCAAACCCCCUGGAAUCAAACAGGGAAUAGGCCAAACAAGUAAGUUUCAAGGAUGGACUAGGAAAAGGGUAGCAAUGGGGAGGAAGGGGGUGGUGAUUGGAGUGGGAGGAAGUUCUGAUUCAUGGGCUCCGGGAAAGGAGAUUCCGGAGAGAGAAUGAUGGGGAAUAAGAUUGGGAGAGGCGUCUGAAUGCCAAGGUCAUUAUCCUCCCAAAGGAAUUGGAUUAAAAUAAAAAACAGAUAAAACAGAGCAAUCAACAAUAAACAAAGUGCCAGAAAGGCAUCCCACUCCUCUCCACUCAUCACAAAUCAGUUGCCUUUCUGUGUUCCCAUCCCAAUCAGAGCAGUGGAUAAGCCCUGCACGCAAGCGCCCAGCUGCUUGUGGGGCCUAUGCUCUUUUUCUCCUCCAGGACUAAAAUGGCCCUUUUAUUGCUCUGUAUUACCCACUGUAACAGGGGAUGGGUUGUUCCAGUUCACAGGGACAGGGGUGUGUGGCUCCUCCUGGUGUGGAAAGAGGGAGCUUGGACAAAACGGUAGGUGGGUUCAGAGAGGGACCUGAGGCAUUUGAUGGGGAGAGUAAGAACUAGGAAGAAUUAGGGGUAGAGAGAGAAAGGGAGAGCAAGGUAAAGGAGGCUUCUUUGAGAGAGGCCUGGACUUUGAUGGGUGGAGUUGAGCUUGGUGUGGUUU